GUGAGGAAAUGGCAGAUGAUCUGAGCAAGGAAUGGACAACAACUGGAAAGAGAAGCCCUCUUGAGGCAGAAAGAUCUCAGGUGAGAGAGGAUCCAGAUACCACAGACCUGUCAUGCGCAGUGUCACAAUCAUCAAAUGUGGGACCAUCAGUAUCACCCAAGAGGAAAAGACCCACUCUGGCAAAAGGCAAGUUAUUGGUAGAGAUGACGUUUCCCAAAAGGAAGACUGGAGAUUCCCCUAAGAGUGACGAGCA